CCGCAUCUUAGCAUAAUAAAAUGGCUGCUAAACUUCAUACGUCUUGUAGAACUCGUAUAUUAUAUUAUGGUCGUUUACCUAUCUAUAGUAGUUAUAUAAUGGACCCACAGGGCGAUUAUCAAAUAAUUAACGCGGGACGACGGAGUGAAUAACAAUAUAAACGUCGGCACUUCGAGAGUUUCGUUUACGGCCAAACACGUCUCUCGGGUGCUUCCUAUGCAUAUAAUAACAAUAAUAAUAUAGUCU